GGGUAUGGUCAAGUGGUAUGACAGAGGUCUCCAAAACCUUUAGUGUGGGUUCGAUUCCUACUACCC
rnacentral:tRNA from 1 species